UCACCCCUCAAGUCUGACUUGGUGUUGGUGGAUUUUAGCACCUGGUUCGCCAUCUGCUCCACUGAAAGAUAAUGACCGGGUUGUGAUUCAACACUAGGUACAGUGAGCUGAUGUAUGUUGGCACGUACUUGAGUGGUGGUUACGGACCCGUCUGGAAGGGAGAGACCUGGUCUCGCCCUUCCACCCCCCUCAACUCUGAA
rnacentral:misc_RNA from 1 species